rnacentral:rRNA from 1 species
UACGUAGGGUGCGAGCGUUAAUCGGAAUUACUGGGCGUAAAGCGAGCGCAGGCGGUUAUGUAAGACAGAUGUGAAAUCCCAGGGCUUAACCUUGGAACUGCAUUUGUGACUGCAUGGCUAGAGUGUGUCAGAGGGGGGUGGAACUCCACGUGUAGCAGUGAAAUGCGUAGAGAUGUGGAAGAACACCGAUGGCGAAGGCAGCCCCCUGGGAUAACACUGACGCUCAGGCUCGAAAGCGUGGGGAGCAAACAGG